rnacentral:tRNA from 1 species
CAUCAAGUAGUUUAUUAAAAUAAAGGUUUUGGAGGCUUUAGAUAUCAAAAAUUGAUCUUGGUGA